AUAAUAGAAUAGGGGAGCUUGUUAAGGCUGAGAGUGUUUUUAAUAAACAGACCCUUAUGACCUGAUCUGGGUAAUACCAGCGGAGGGAAUUAAAACAACAUUUUG
rnacentral:ncRNA from 2 species